rnacentral:rRNA from 1 species
UUAGCGGCGGACGGGUGAGUAACACGUGAGUAACCUGCCUUUUACACAGGGAUAAGCCUCGGGAAAACCGGGAUUAAAACCUGAUGAAACUAUCAAAUCACAUGAUUAAGAAAGUUAAAACUCCGGUGGUAAAAGAUGGACUCGCGUCCCAUUAGCUAGUUGGUGAAGGUAACGGCCCACCAAGGCAACGAUGGGUAGCCGGCCUGAGAGGGUGAACGGCCACAUUGGAACUGAGAAACGGUCCAAACUCCUACGGGAGGCAGCAGUGGGGAAUAUUGCACAAUGGGGGAAACCCUGAUGCAGCGACGCCGCGUGAGCGAAGAAGGCCUUCGGGUCGUAAAGCUCUUUUAUAUGGGAAGAUAAUGACGGUACCAUAAGAAAAAGCCCCGGGCUAACUACGUGCCAGCAGCCGCGGUAAAU